GUACUACUCCCUCCGUUCCAAAUUACUUGUCGCAAGUAUGGAUGUAUCUAGAUAUAUUUUAGUUCUAGAUACAUCAAUUUCUGCGACGAGUAAUUUGGAACGGAGGGAGUACUAC
rnacentral:pre_miRNA from 1 species